rnacentral:rRNA from 2 species
UACGGAGGGAGCUAGCGUUGUUCGGAAUCACUGGGCGUAAAGCGCACGUAGGCGGCUUUGUAAGUUAGAGGUGAAAGCCCGGGGCUCAACUCCGGAACUGCCUUUAAGACUGCAUCGCUUGAAUCUGGGAGAGGUAAGUGGAAUUCCGAGUGUAGAGGUGAAAUUCGUAGAUAUUCGGAAGAACACCAGUGGCGAAGGCGGCUUACUGGACCAGAAUUGACGCUGAGGUGCGAAAGCGUGGGGAGCAAACAGG